CAGUCGCCGCGGGAAUACGUAGGGUGCGAGCGUUAAUCGGAAUUACUGGGCGUAAAGCGUGCGCAGGCGGUUAUGUAAGACAGGUGUGAAAUCCCCGGGCCUAACCUGGGAACUGCGCUUGUGACUGCACAGCUAGAGUAUGGCAGAGGGGGGUGGAAUUCCACGUGUAGCAGUGAAAUGCGUAGAGAUGUGGAGGAACACCGAUGGCGAAGGCAGCCCCUGGGCCAAUACUGACGCUCAUGCACGAAAGCGGGGGGAGCAAACAGGAUUAGAUACCCCCGUAGUCCCUGUCUCUUAUACC
rnacentral:rRNA from 1 species